rnacentral:ncRNA from 1 species
UUCUUCGGGGCGGGGUGUGAUUCCCCACCGGCGGUAUAGUCCGCGACCCGCGCAAGCGGCUGAUCUGGUGACGCAAAGGCGAAUUCCAGAACCGACAGUAUAGUCUGGAUGGUAGAAGAG